CCAGGUCCCAGUGAGAGACAGUCUCCCAAGGGGGACAGGGAGAGGGGGAGCUGGAGCCACUGCAUGGCUGUGGAGCCUUCUGGCAGCUCCUGUUGCAGAUGGUUCAGACCAACCAUAACUGUAGCCCCCGGGUCUCUUAACACCCUCAUGUGUCUGCCCACACAGGGUUACUGCGCUCCAAUCUCAAUGUGUGCUCGGGGGUCAGGAGGAAAUACACGCCUUAAGUCCAUCUUGGGAGAAAAGCCAAACAAAAAAGGAAAGGCUAAUUGUGUGGUUCCGGAGGUAAGAGGCUCCAAGCAGAAGAGCGGGAGAUUCCAACAGAGGCCACAGCCCCUGGGAAAGUACAGGGAUUCUCAGAUCAAGUGUGCCAGUGCCUAGAGUUUUGGGAAAGUCUGCCCCUGAUUGGAAUACGAUUUUUCAAAGAAAAUAGAAGGAAGUAAAAGAGGUCUUUCAGCUCAUGAAUAAAGCAAAGAGCUCAGAAGAGCAGAAGAUGA